GCUCCCUAAGAGACUCCCCUCUGUCCCCACAGCCCCCUUCUCUGCUUAGGCCCCCUGAGGGUACUGCAGGAAAGCUAGGGGAAAGAAUGACAGAGAAAUCAGCAGUGAUUGUCCUUUAUGUGUAGGUGGUUCCUCCGCUUGCAGCAUGUUUACUUCUCUCUCAAGCGUACCUCACAAUAGCCCUGGAAUGGAGGCCUGGCAGGUUGUCAGCCUUUCUGUGUCACCAAUGAAGAAACCAAGGCUCAGAGAGGCCUCUGGUCCCAGGUAUGUCACUCAGAAGUUACACCUCCACCCCUAGGACUGUAGCUGAUGAUGGGUACCACUCAGGCACGUGGAUGUAGCUAACAGGAUCAAGGAAGGACAAAGAGACCUUUCCCAGAAGCUGAUCCUCCCAGCCAGAGAAGCUGUUAGCACUGGGGAGCUGAGACUACUGCGACGUGUAGGGCCCUCUCCCGUUGGGAAGGAGGAAUGUCCAGGCCAGCACAGCAGUAGGGGCUUCUUCUGGGACCAAGUCACAUGAAGGGAAAGCAAAUCGCCUGGACACAGUUUCCACUGUGCUGCCUUCUGGCCUCGGUUUAGGAAUGAAAUUCAGACUCCAUGGCUUCUAUGAGUGGAGGGAAGGCAUGCCUAGAUCAGAACAAUCUGCCUCCCUACUCCAGCACAUCAAAGGAAAGUAGCAGCUUUGGGGAUCUAAAGCUCUUGGAUCUUUCAGGACCAAUGAGAUGGAAACCAUCUCUGUGGGGAGAUGCUACCAGUCAUGGGAGGCUUUUGGAAGGUUCAGUAAGGUGAGCUUUCCCAGGAGACUUGGGCUCCCAAAGGAGGGGCAAGAAGAGUAUGUUGAAA